rnacentral:RNase_P_RNA from 1 species
GAAGCAGACCGGACGGUCGCUGUGCGCUUGCCGUACAGAGGAAAGUCCGGACUCCACAGAGCAGGAUAGUGGGUAACACCCAUCCACCGUGAGGUGAGGAUCAGAGCAACAGAGACGAGCCAGUUAAGUCUGGGUGAAACGGGCAAUCUCUAUCCGGAGCAAUACCAAAUAGGCAGGCGUUGAGGCUGCUCGCGGAGCCUGCGGGUAGGUAGCUUGAGGCGCGCGGUAACGCGCGUCCCAGAGGAAUGACCGUCAUAGCCCGCAAGGGCCGUAACAGAAUCCGGCUUACAGGUCUGCUUCCAAC